UACUCGCCUGUCUACGAAAUAAACUAUUGACUCUGUUCCACGCUCGUCGCCAGCCUGUGCAAUUGGGUUCAGCCAAACGCGCACGUUACAGAACAAUCUGGCCAAGAAUGGACCCAGCCCAGAUGGACGACCGCAUCUCCCGGAUGGAGAGCGCGCUACACCAAUUGAUGGUCGCCACGGUUCAGAGAUAGCAGGAUCUGGUAGAACUCUCCAAAGCAGUCCGCAAACCUGUUCCAGAGUUUCAGCCACAUUCUUUCCGGCCACACGGGUUUCCCCUUUCCAAGCCUUCAGUACCCCCUGUCUUCUCCUCGUCUGUUCCAACCGCUCCCGUUGGAUUGGGCGGUCCCGAGCCAAUACGAUUGGUCCGCACCCCCCUUACAUCGGAGGAGAGGGAUAAGAGGCUAACCAUGAACCUCUGUUUGUACUGCGGCCAGCAAAGGGACAGAGUCCCCAAGUGAGCAGGAAUAUUCUUGUGAGCUCCGCCAUGGACACUACUUCUCCAUCAAGACCCAUUCUCUCCGUUCCCCGAGUCCCCUGAUGAGACGGCAGAACCCUCCACCAUUGUCCCAGCCUCCUGCCUUGUCGCUGCUGUCACCUGGGAGAUUGAGGAGAAGUGCUUUCCCGCGAUUCUACUCCUGACCUACCACCGCUCCUGCCUGCUCUCUGAUCCCUGCCUGUCUGACUAUUCUCCCGGUUCCUGAUCCCUGUCUGACUCUCCUUCUGGUUCCUGAUCCUCGCCUGUCUGACUCUCCUGCCGGUUCCUGAUCCCUGCCUGUCUGACUCUCCUUCUGGUUCCUGAUCCUCGCCUGUCUGACUCUCCUGCCGGUUCCUGAUCCCCGCCUGUCUGACUACCCCGUUGGUUCCUGAUCCCUGCUUGUCUGACUACUCGCCUGUCUACGAAAUAAACUAUUGACUCUGUUCCACGCUCGUCGCCAGCCUGUGCACUUGGGUUCAGCCAAACGCGCACGUUACAAUGUCACACUAUGCGAUCA
ensembl:lncRNA